UACGUAGGUGGCAAGCGUUGUCCGGAUUUACUGGGCGUAAAGAGCGCGCAGGCGGUCGUUCAAGUCGCGUGUGAAAGCCCCCGGCUCAACUGGGGAGGGUCACGCGAUACUGAUCGACUCGAAGGCAGGAGAGGGAAGUGGAAUUCCCGGUGUAGUGGUGAAAUGCGCAGAUAUCAGGAGGAACACCGGUGGCGAAGGCGGGUCUCUGGGCCGAUACUGACGCUGAGGAGCGAAAGUGUGGGGAGCGAACAGG
rnacentral:rRNA from 1 species